rnacentral:rRNA from 1 species
AUUGAACGCUGGCGGAAUGCUUUACACAUGCAAGUCGAACGGUAGAGGGGGCAACCCCUCGAGAGUGGCGAACGGGUGAGUAAUAUAUCGGAACGUGCCCAGUCGUGGGGGAUAACGUAGCGAAAGUUACGCUAAUACCGCAUACGAUCUACGGAUGAAAGCGGGGGAUCGCAAGACCUCGCGCGAUUGGAGCGGCCGAUAUCAGAUUAGGUAGUUGGUGGGGUAAAGGCUCACCAAGCCAACGAUCUGUAGCUGGUCUGAGAGGACGACCAGCCACACUGGAACUGAGACACGGUCCAGACUCCUACGGGAGGCAGCAGUGGGGAAUUUUGGACAAUGGACGCAAGUCUGAUCCAGCCAUUCCGCGUGCAGGAUGAAGGCCCUCGGGUUGUAAACUGCUUUUGUACGGAACGAAAAGGUCUCUCCUAAUACGAGGGGCUCAUGACGGUACCGUAAGAAUAAGCACCGGCUAACUACGUGCCAGCAGCCGCCGCGG